rnacentral:rRNA from 1 species
GACGAACGCUGGCGGCGUGCCUAAUACAUGCAAGUUGAGCGCUGAAGGUUGGUACUUGUACCAACUGGAUGAGCAGCGAACGGGUGAGUAACGCGUGGGGAAUCUGCCUUUGAGCGGGGGACAACAUUUGGAAACAAAUGCUAAUACCGCAUAAAAACUUUAAACACAAGUUUUAAGUUUGAAAGAUGCAAUUGCAUCACUCAAAGAUGAUCCCGCGUUGUAUUAGCUAGUUGGUGAGGUAAAGGCUCACCAAGGCGAUGAUACAUAGCCGACCUGAGAGGGUGAUCGGCCACAUUGGGACUGGGACACGGCCCAAACUCCUACGGGAGGCAGCAGUAGGGGAUCUUCGGCAAUGGACGAAAGUCUGACCGAGCCACGCCGCGUGAGUGAAGAAGGUUUUCGGAUCGGAAAACUCUGUUGGUAGAGAAGAACGUUGGUGAGAGUGGAAAGCUCAUCAAGUGACGGUAACUACCCAGAAAGGGACGGCUAACUACGUG